rnacentral:rRNA from 1 species
UACGUAGGGUGCGAGCGUUGUCCGGAAUUAUUGGGCGUAAAGAGCUCGUAGGCGGCUUGUCGCGUCGGAUGUGAAAGCCCGGGGCUUAACUCCGGGUCUGCAUUCGAUACGGGCAGGCUAGAGUUCGGUAGGGGAGAUCGGAAUUCCUGGUGUAGCGGUGAAAUGCGCAGAUAUCAGGAGGAACACCGGUGGCGAAGGCGGUUCUCUGGGACGGUACUGACGCUGAGACGCGAAAGCGUGGGGAGCGAACAGG